GACGAACGCUGGCGGCGUGCUUAACACAUGCAAGUCGAACGGAAAGGCCCUGCUUUUGUGGGGUGCUCGAGUGGCGAACGGGUGAGUAACACGUGAGUAACCUGCCCUUGACUUUGGGAUAACUUCAGGAAACUGGGGCUAAUACCGGAUAGGAGCUCCUGCUGCAUGGUGGGGGUUGGAAAGUUUCGGCGGUUGGGGAUGGACUCGCGGCUUAUCAGCUUGUUGGUGGGGUAGUGGCUUACCAAGGCUUUGACGGGUAGCCGGCCUGAGAGGGUGACCGGCCACCUGACGACUGCGGUACGGCCCAGACUCCUAUGGGGGGCAGCAGUGGGGAAUAUUGCACAACGGGCCGACGCCUGUUGCAGCAACGCCGCGUUCGUGAUGACGUCCUUCGGGUUGUGAACCGCUUUCGCCUGUGACGAAGCGUGAGUGACGGUAAUGGGUAAAGAAGCACCGGCUAACUACGUG
rnacentral:rRNA from 1 species